rnacentral:rRNA from 1 species
UGUGCAUGGGGCGAAGCCUGAUCGAGCACGCCGCGUGAGGGAUGAAGGCCUCUGGGCUGUAAACCUCUUUUCUCAGGAAGAAGAUCUGACGGUACUUGAGGAAUAAGCCACGGCUAAUUCCGUGCCAGCAGCCGCGGUAAUACGGGAGUGGCAAGCGUUAUCCGGAAUUAUUGGGCGUAAAGCGUCCGCAGGCGGCCCUUCAAGUCUGCUGUUAAAACGUGGAGCUUAACUCCAUCAUGGCAGUGGAAACUGUUGGGCUUGAGUGUGGUAGGGGCAGAGGGAAUUCCCGGUGUAGCGGUGAAAUGCGUAGAUAUCGGGAAGAACACCAGUGGCGAGGCGCUCUGCUGGGCCAUCACUGACGCUCAUGGACGAAAGCCAGGGGAGCGAAAGGGAUUAGAUACCCCUGUAGUCCUGGCCGUAAACGAUGAACACUAGGUGUCGGGGGAAUCGACCCCUCCGGUGUCGUAGCCAACGCGUUAAGUGUUCCGCCUGGGGAGUACGCACGCAAAUGUGAAACUCAAAGGAAUUGACGGAG